UGGGGAAUUUUGGACAAUGGGCGAAAGCCUGAUCCAGCAAUGCCGCGUGUGUGAAGAAGGCCUUCGGGUUGUAAAGCACUUUUGUCCGGAAAGAAAUCCUUGGCUCUAAUACAGUCGGGGGAUGACGGUACCGGAAGAAUAAGCACCGGCUAACUACGUGCCAGCAGCCGCGGUAAUACGUAGGGUGCAAGCGUUAAUCGGAAUUACUGGGCGUAAAGCGUGCGCAGGCGGUUUGCUAAGACCGAUGUGAAAUCCCCGGGCUCAACCUGGGAACUGCAUUGGUGACUGGCAGGCUAGAGUAUGGCAGAGGGGGGUAGAAUUCCACGUGUAGCAGUGAAAUGCGUAGAGAUGUGGAGGAAUACCGAUGGCGAAGGCAGCCCCCUGGGCCAAUACUGACGCUCAUGCACGAAAGCGUGGGGAGCAAAACAGGAUUAGAUACCCUGGUAGUCCACGCCCUAAAACGAUGUCAACUAGUUGUUGGGGAUUCAUUUCCUAGUAACGUAGCUAACGCGUGAAGUUGACCGCCUGGGGAGUACGUCGCAAGAUUAAAACUCAAAGGAAUUG
rnacentral:rRNA from 1 species